rnacentral:rRNA from 1 species
AACGAACGUUAGCGGCGCGCCUAACACACGCAAGUCGUGCGAGAAAGGGCUUCGGCCCCGGUAAAGCGGCGCACGGGUGAGUAACAAGUAGGCAAUCUGCAUCUGAGUGGUGGAUAACCUUCCGAAAGGAGGGCUAAUCCAGCAUAAGACCACGGGUUCGCAGAGCCUGAAGUCAAAGCGGACCUCUUAACGAAAGUUCGCGCUUGGCGACGAGCCUGCGGCCCAUCAGCUAGUUGGUAAGGAAACGGCUUACCAAGGCAAAGACGGGUAGCUGGUCUGAGAGGACGAACAGCCACACUGGAACUGAGACACGGUCCAGACUCCUACGGGAGGCAGCAGUGGGGAAUCUUGCGCAAUGGGCGAAAGCCUGACGCAGCGACGCCGCGUGAGCGAUGAAGGCCUUCGGGUUGUAAAGCUCUGUGGGGAGAGACGAAUAAGGUGCAGCUAAUAUCUGCAUCGAUGACGGUAUCUCCUUAGCAAGCACCGGCUAACUCUGUGCCAGCCGCCGCAGUAAUAC